UCCCUGGUGGCUCAGAUGGUAAAGAAUCUGCCUGCAAUGCAGGAGACCCAGGUUCAAUCCCUGGUUCAGGAA
rnacentral:tRNA from 1 species